CUACGGGUGGCAGCAGUGGGGAAUAUUGCACAAUGGAGGAAACUCUGAUGCAGCAACGCCGCGUGGAGGAUGACACUUUUCGGAGCGUAAACUCCUUUUAUAUAGGAAGAAGAUGACGGUACUAUAUGAAUAAGCGCCGGCUAACUCCGUGCCAGCAGCCGCGGUAAUAUGGAGGGCGCAAGCGUUACUCGGAAUCACUGGGCGUAAAGAGCGUGUAGGCGGAUUAAAAAGUCAGAAGUGAAAUCCUAUAGCUUAACUAUAGAACUGCUUCUGAAACUCUUAAUCUAGAAUAUGGGAGAGGUAGAUGGAAUUUCUGGUGUAGGGGUAAAAUCCGUAGAGAUCAGAAGGAAUACCGAUUGCGAAGGCGAUCUACUAGAACAUUAUUGACGCUGAGACACGAAAGCGUGGGGAGCAAACAGGAUUAGAUACCCGAGUAGUC
rnacentral:rRNA from 1 species